rnacentral:rRNA from 1 species
UAACCGCGCGAAGGUAGCAUAAUCACUUGUUCUUUAAAUGAGGACUCGUAUCAAUGGCACCACGAGGACUUUACUGUCUCCUUUUUCUAAUCAGUGAAACUAAUCUUCCCGUGAAGAAGCGGGAAUAAAUAGAUAAGACGAGAAGACCCCAUGGAGCUUUAAGCUUACUGCACCUCUAUUUUCUAUAACCUCUUAUUAAACGGAAUACUGCUUACUUAGCUUUAGGUUGGGGUGACCGCGGAGUAUAACAUAACCUCCAUGAUGAACAAAACUAUUUUCUUAUCUAAGAACAACAGUUCUAAGAAUUAGUAUUCUAACAUAAAAUGAUCCGAUAAUCGAUCAACGGACUAAGUUACCCUGGGGAUAACAGCGCAAUCCAUUUCAAGAGCCCCUAUCGACAAAUGGGUUUACGACCUCGAUGUUGGAUCAGGAUAUCCUAGUGGUGCAGCAGCUACUGAAGGUUCGUUUGUUCAACGAUUAAAAUCCU